UUGAAGAGUUUGAUCAUGGCUCAGAUUGAACGCUGGCGGCAGGCCUAACACAUGCAAGUCGAACGGUAACAGGAAACAGCUUGCUGUUUCGCUGACGAGUGGCGGACGGGUGAGUAAUGUCUGGGAAACUGCCUGAUGGAGGGGGAUAACUACUGGAAACGGUAGCUAAUACCGCAUAACGUCGCAAGACCAAAGAGGGGGACCUUCGGGCCUCUUGCCAUCGGAUGUGCCCAGAUGGGAUUAGCUUGUUGGUGGGGUAACGGCUCACCAAGGCGACGAUCCCUAGCUGGUCUGAGAGGAUGACCAGCCACACUGGAACUGAGACACGGUCCAGACUCCUACGGGAGGCAGCAGUGGGGAAUAUUGCACAAUGGGCGCAAGCCUGAUGCAGCCAUGCCGCGUGUAUGAAGAAGGCCUUCGGGUUGUAAAGUACUUUCAGCGGGGAGGAAGGGAGUAAAGUUAAUACCUUUGCUCAUUGACGUUACCCGCAGAAGAAGCACCGGCUAACUCCGUGCCAGCAGCCGCGGUAAUACGGAGGGUGCAAGCGUUAAUCGGAAUUACUGGGCGUAAAGCGCACGCAGGCGGUUUGUUAAGUCAGAUGUGAAAUCCCCGGGCUCAACCUGGGAACUGCAUCUGAUACUGGCAAGCUUGAGUCUCGUAGAGGGGGGUAGAAUUCCAGGUGUAGCGGUGAAAUGCGUAGAGAUCUGGAGGAAUACCGGUGGCGAAGGCGGCCCCCUGGACGAAGACUGACGCUCAGGUGCGAAAGCGUGGGGAGCAAACAGGAUUAGAUACCCUGGUAGUCCCACGCCGUAAACGAUGUCGACUUGGAGGUUGUGCCCUUGAGGCGUGGCUUCCGGAGCUAACGCGUUAAGUCGACCGCCUGGGGAGUACGGCCGCAAGGUUAAAACUCAAAUGAAUUGACGGGGGCCCGCACAAGCGGUGGAGCAUGUGGUUUAAUUCGAUGCAACGCGAAGAACCUUACCUGGUCUUGACAUCCACGGAAGUUUUCAGAGAUGAGAAUGUGCCUUCGGGAACCGUGAGACAGGUGCUGCAUGGCUGUCGUCAGCUCGUGUUGUGAAAUGUUGGGUUAAGUCCCGCAACGAGCGCAACCCUUAUCCUUUGUUGCCAGCGGUCCGGCCGGGAACUCAAAGGAGACUGCCAGUGAUAAACUGGAGGAAGGUGGGGAUGACGUCAAGUCAUCAUGGCCCUUACGACCAGGGCUACACACGUGCUACAAUGGCGCAUACAAAGAGAAGCGACCUCGCGAGAGCAAGCGGACCUCAUAAAGUGCGUCGUAGUCCGGAUUGGAGUCUGCAACUCGACUCCAUGAAGUCGGAAUCGCUAGUAAUCGUGGAUCAGAAUGCCACGGUGAAUACGUUCCCGGGCCUUGUACACACCGCCCGUCACACCAUGGGAGUGGGUUGCAAAAGAAGUAGGUAGCUUAACCUUCGGGAGGGCGCUUACCACUUUGUGAUUCAUGACUGGGGUGAAGUCGUAACAAGGUAACCGUAGGGGAACCUGCGGUUGGAUCACCUCCUU
rnacentral:rRNA from 1 species